UUUAAGGCUUCGUUUGGAUUGAGGGAUUUAGAGGGAUUUGGAGAGAAAAGAAAGGGAAGGAUAGUGUUAAGUGUGUUUGGAUGGAAGGAAUAGAAGAGAAAAGAAAGGAUUGGGAAAGAUUUGGAGGGAUAGGCUAUCCCUCCAAAUCCCUCCACAACAGUAAAAUCAAAUCCCCUCAAAAUUGAGAAGAUUUGAGGGGAAAGGAAGAGAAAGCAAACAAAAGACAAAAUUAGCCUUCCAAAUUCUAUAUUAGGGCGCAGCAGCUUCUCCAUCUCUUCUCUCGCGUCUCCAUCUCCUCUUCUCUCGCGUCUCCGGCUUCGGCUCUUUAACACGGCUCAAAGAAGAAACGCUAACCCUAGGUCUGGAAUCCUCAAUUGGAGACGCGAAGGUGUGUUAGGCGAUUUGCAGACUGCCGUUGCUGCUAGAAUCAAUAUACGAAUUGAUCUUGUGAAGAGCAGCUCGCCACUUUUAGAUCUCAAUUGGAAGACUUCUCUUUUGCAAAUAUAAGGUACUCAAUUGUUUUCAUUUUUUUUUCUGUGUUCUUUAUAAGUAAAUUAAUUACUAAUUAUUUGGUGUUUCUCAUAUUCAAUUUGGCAUUUUGAAUUGAAGCUAGUGAAUGGAAAUUUAAGUUUGAAAAUUUGAAGAAAUUGGUUAAUAUGAAUUAGCUGUCUUAAUCAAUUUUUGGAUUUCAGUUAAUUAGUGGAUUACGUUCCUAUCUCUAUUACAGUCUUUAGCGCUCUCGCUCUUCUUUGCUCGCCGUGAUACAGUAGUAUGUGGUGGUUGUGUGCUUUUAUCAGAUGAGCUAAAAUGGGUUCAUUGAAGAUUACCAUCAUAUGGGUUGAUUUGAGCACAUUGAAGUUGUCAUCAAUAUUAAAUGAUUUGAGCACAUUGAGAUUUUUUUUUUGUUUUUUAAACAGCUUACUGGUUAACACAAGAUUUUAGUUGUAGAUUUAUACAAAAAGUAACAGUACUACAUUUUUUUCUGGUUAUUAAUAUAUCAUUUUGCAUUUUACAAUUUUAGAUGGACAAACAACAAAAUGACAUACUGCGUUUCCAUCUUAUGUGGGUACAAAGACGACGCCAAAUUGCAACUCUAGUCAUUCUCCUUGCCGUGUAUUGGUUUAAGCGUAAAAAACGUAGAAACUAUGUAGAUAAACCUAUUACACAAUCAGAGAUUGAAAGACAAAUAACACGGGAUAAACUAAUGAACGAGCUUAGGGUAAGUGAGAAAUGUCGUAACAUUACUCGUAUGGGACCAGAAGCUUUUCAAAAUUUCUGUGAGAUGCUUAUAAGAGAUGGUGGUCUUCGACCCACAAAACGUGCAAGUGUUGAAGAGCAAGUUGCUAAAUUUCUGCACAUUAUAUCACAUAAUGUGAGGAAUCGGACAAUGUCAUUUUUCUUUUGUCGCUCUGGUGAAACCAUAAGCCGUCAUUUUCAUAGUGUGUUAAAAGCAGUAAUCUCAUUGGAAGGACAGUUCCUCAAGCAACCUAGUGGAUUGGACAUCCCCCCAGAAAUACUCAAUAACGAUAGGUUUCAUCCAUAUUUCAAGGUGAACAUGAUUAGUACUUAACUUAAUACUUCAAUUUUAACGAUUUUAUAAACUAUUACAUAAAAUUUUUAUUAUAAUGAUUUUAUCUCAGAAUUGCAUUGGGGCAAUUGAUGGAACACACGUUCGUGUGAAAGUAUCUAACGAAGAUGCACCCAGAUAUCGUGACUCAAGAGUUAUGGCUAGUGCACUAAAAAGACAAGGAGAUAAAUUAAUACUUCCGGAAGGAAAAUUUUAUCUUGCUGACGCCGGGUACCCAUUAAAGGCUGGACUUAUCACGCCUUAUAGAGGUGUGCGCUAUCAUUUAAAAGAAUAUGCCUCACGCCGACCAGAGAAUCCUAGAGAGUUAUUCAACCUUCGA